rnacentral:lncRNA from 1 species
AGUUUGGAUCCGGAAAGGUGAUAUCUUUCCUUGUUCUUCUUCUUAGUUUGUUUUCAUAUAUAUGUAAUGCUUUGUUUGGUGCUCAUUGCAUAUUUUUAUUCAUUGCGUUACAUGUUUAAACAAUUUUUGGUGCUUGAAAUUUAUUUUUGAAAUUGAUUUUUAAAAUCGGUUUGGAAGAAGAUGAUCGGGAAUUAAAUUUUUUUUUGGAAAGGCGAUGUUUUAAAAUCAUUAAUUUGGGGAGAUUAAAUUUUUUCAAAGUGCCUUAACCGGUAUUUAAAUUCACAUUCAUAUUAAGUUAAAUUCAUAUUAAUUAUCGGUUUUACUCCAUUUUUUAUUAUUUUGACGAUAAUUUAAUAUAUGAUUUCUUAGUAUAUCUAUUCAUCAAGAUUUUGGAAUCAAAUUUGAUCUCUUGGCGAUUAAUUUAUCUUGGUUGUGUGUGUUGAAUAUGAUGAAUAGUUAUUUGCUAAUGGACUAAAAAUUGUCAUAUUUUCUUUCAAGUGUGAGAUUGUCUAAUUUAGGGGGAGUUUGAUUAUUAAAAAAAAAAAUGGAGAAACUCCUAUGUUUAAAAGAUGUGGAAAGAGUUACAUCCAAAAGGAGUGUGAAAACUACCACUACAUGUAGGAAAGAGCUACCACCCCGGUUGUCAGAUAAGUGUGUGAAGCUACCACAUGAAAAUUGAUUGAUUAACCGGAAAAAAAAAUGAAUAUUUUAGAUUUUUCGGAGUUAUAAGGUGAUAAGAUGAAAAAGAUGCUCAAAGAGCCACCCCCGGUGUUUUAUUAGUUAAAUCUCUAUUUUGAAUGUUUUGCGAUAAAUUGGCGUCAAUUUUGCCGAAUUUCUUUAAAUCAUUUUCCAUGAACCAUUACAUCUUGAUGUU